CAGUAGCCGCGGGAAUACGAAGGGGGCUAGCGUUGCUCGGAAUUACUGGGCGUAAAGGGCGCGUAGGCGGGUCGUUUAGUUAGAGGUGAAAGCCCAGGGCUCAACCCUGGAAUUGCCUUUAAUACUGGCGGCCUUGAGUAUGGCAGAGGUGUGUGGAACUCCGAGUGUAGAGGUGAAAUUCGUAGAUAUUCGGAAGAACACCAGUGGCGAAGGCGACACACUGGGCCAUUACUGACGCUGAGGCGCGAAAGCGUGGGGAGCAAACAGGAUUAGAUACCCGCGUAGUCCCUGUCUCUUAUAC
rnacentral:rRNA from 1 species